rnacentral:rRNA from 1 species
UCUACGGGAGGCAGCAGUCGAGAAUCAUUCACAAUGGGGGAAACCCUGAUGGUGCGACGCCGCGUGGGGGAAUGAAGGUCUUCGGAUUGUAAACCCCUGUCAUGUGGGAGCAAAUUAAAAAGAUAGUACAACAAGAGGAAGAGCCGGCUAACUCUGUGGCAGCAACCGCGGUAAUAGAGGAGUCUCAAGCGUUGUUCGGGAUCACUGGGCGUAAAGCGUGCGGAGGGUGGUUCGUAGAUUCGGUGUUCAAGGGGCGGGCUGAAACCGCGGACGGCCGAUGAUACUGGGAGACUAGAGUAAGAGAGAGGUAAGCGGAAUUCGAGGUGUAGCAGUGAAAUGCGUAGAUAUCGAGAAGAACACUCGUGGCGAAGGCAGCUUCCUGGACAUUAACUGACGCUGAGGCACGAAGGCCAGGGGAGCGAAAAGGAUUAGAUACCCCUGUAGUC